rnacentral:rRNA from 1 species
CACGUAGGGUGCGAGCGUUGUCCGGAAUUAUUGGGCGUAAAGGGCUCGUAGGCGGUUUGUCGCGUCGGGAGUGAAAACAUCCAGCUUAACUGGGUGCUUGCUUUCGAUACGGGCAGACUUGAGGUAUGCAGGGGAGAAUGGAAUUCCUGGUGUAGCGGUGAAAUGCGCAGAUAUCAGGAGGAACACCGGUGGCGAAGGCGGUUCUCUGGGCAUUACCUGACGCUGAGGAGCGAAAGUGUGGGGAGCGAACAGG